rnacentral:rRNA from 1 species
AUUGAACGCUGGCGGCAGGCCUAACACAUGCAAGUCGAGCGGAGCGGCGGGCGGACGAGUAAUGCCUAGGAAUCUGCCUGGAAGUGGGGGAUAAAGUACGGAAACGGGCGCUAAUUCCGCAUACUUUCAGUUGAGUCUGGGUCGGAUUAGUUAGUUGGUGGGGUAAAGGCCUACCAAGGCGACGAUCCGUAACUGGUCUGAGUGGAUGAUCAGUCACACUGGGACUGAGACACUGUCCAGACUCCUACGGGAGGCAGCAGUGGGGAAUAUUGGACAAUGGGCGGAAGCCUGAACGAGCCAUGCCGCGUGUGAGAAGAAGGUCUUCGGAUUGUAAAGGACUUUUAGUUGGGGGGCGUUACCAACAGAAUGAGCACCGGCUAACUUCGUGCCAACAGCCGCGGUAAUAC